GUGUUAUUGCUACAGCAAACAAUGACAUUCUAGAUGAUACUGUACUUCCAAAUUUGUGGCAACUGUUUGGGGAAGGCCCUUUCCUGUUCCAGCAUGACAAUGCCCCUGUGCACAAAGUGAGGUUUGGUUUGUCAAGAUCGGUGUGGACCAACUUGACUGACCUGCCCUGAACUCAACCCCAUCGAACACCUUUGAGAUGAAUUGGAACGCUGACUGCGAGCCAAGCCUAAAACCCCCAACAUGGAAGCCUAAUGGACACAUGCUCAAACUCGCACACUUUUGAUAGACUUAAAGGGAUUUUCUCAAACUCUUAAGUUAGAUGGGGAGCGGUG
ensembl:lncRNA